GUGGGGAAUCUUGCGCAAUGGGCGAAAGCCUGACGCAGCCAUGCCGCGUGAAUGAUGAAGGUCUUAGGAUUGUAAAAUUCUUUCACCGGGGACGAUAAUGACGGUACCCGGAGAAGAAGCCCCGGCUAACUUCGCGCCAGCAGCCGCGGUAAUACGAAGGGGGCUAGCGUUGCUCGGAAUUACUGGGCGUAAAGGGCGCGUAGGCGGACAGUUUAGUCAGAGGUGAAAGCCCAGGGCUCAACCUUGGAAUUGCCUUUGAUACUGGCUGUCUUGAGUACGGGGGAGGUGAGUGGAACUCCGAGUGUAGAGGUGAAAUUCGUAGAUAUUCGGAAGAACACCAGUGGCGAAGGCGACUCACUGGCCCGUUACUGACGCUGAGGCGCGAAAGCGUGGGGAGCAAACAGGAUUAGAAACCCGGGUAGUCC
rnacentral:rRNA from 1 species